ACAUGCCUACAACAUAGCAUUAAUGCAUAGGAUCCCAUUAGACCUCCACAGUUAAGUGUGCUCAGGCUAAAGUAGUACUGGGAUCGGUGAUCACUCGAGAAUUCCUAGUAUUUUACAUGCC
rnacentral:rRNA from 1 species